rnacentral:lncRNA from 1 species
AUUAAUGACAUGGGCGAAUUGCAGAUUGGGCAAGAAGCAACAUUGCAACUGGCGUUACAAAACGGCCAACAUAUCCGACGUGUGCGAGAGGAAGACGCACAACGCUGGGCUGGAUGGUACCAAAAUUUCCCGCCACCACAGUGAGCGAAGAUCUAGCUUGGGGGAGAUCCUCUCCCCCACUAAGGUAAGUAUUCUAUCCUAUUUAUUUUCAUGCAUUUUAUCAUUCUUACUUAAAAAAAAAUAUAAAUAUUUAUUAGCAUUUCCCUUUAGCAUAUAUGCUUCAUGUAUGUUUAUAUCCCUCAUGGAAAUUAUGACUAGUUGCUUGUUAAUGCUUCUCUAGUGCCUAGUAUACAACUUAGUAUUUCUCUAAGUAUGGAUCACUUAGCUCACUUAAACUGCCAUGAACCUAAAAACUUUGUGGGUUGCAAGUGCUAGAACUAAGUCUAAGUUGUUGUGGGACAUGAGAUAGUAAGACAAGAGCUACUAUAAUAUUUUUCUAAGCAUGCAUGAUUAUCAGAGAUUUAUUCUUAAAAUGAUCAAAACCUUAAUUGUUCCUCAAUGGUGAUGAAUUCCUACCAUAGCCAUAUCUACUUUACAUAAUUGCAACCUUUCCACAUAAGCUAUUUGCUUUGUGUUGAGUGUCGUCAAGUCUUGUUGACCCUUGUUAAGAGACUUUUCAUGCUCCUAAGAUCAAGAUCACGUACACACCACAUAUAUAUAUGCUGCUUCUACACUGGAAGUACGCAACCACAUGUAUUUCGCAUCCACUAAAUAGGUUGCUCCAUACUCUAAAUGUUAGAACAUCUCUCUAAGCAUUAUUUGGUAAAUGAGACAUCAAAAGGCUAGGCAAAAUGAAAUAAAAAGAUGGACAUGUGCAAGUCCACAGAAAAAGAAAAUUGAGCACAUGAAAGCUCAUAUAUAAAAAAAAAGAGAAGAAAAAAAAAUGCUAGCCAUGUCUCAAUACAUAGAGAGUCUAUCAAAUAAAGGAGCAACCUAGUCCACCAUAUAUCACACUUGCACAUCUUGAUCUGGGAGUGUGACACUUCUUUUCAAGGAUCCGAGCUUUGACUUCGCAAUACAUGCAAAGUAAGUAUGCUAUCUCCUUUCAUCCCUACCUUGAACUCCACAUAAGCCUUUUAGAAAUAGGAUGAAAUAGAGAAGGCAACUCUUACCAUAUGCCUUGGUGAGGAAUCAUACACCAUUUGAGUGACAUGAGAGAACCAUAAGAGGAACAUUUAAGCUUUCUUUUGAAAAUAUCACAAAACCUCUGAUAUGAAACUUGCUAAGAAUGAGAAAGUUAGUGCUCAAGUCAAACUGUUCUGUUUCUCAACCACCUAAGACAAAGGAAAAGCCAUAAGCCCCAUAAGGGACUAAGGUAAUAGGGGUAAGUUUACAUAGCUAAAUUUUUCAUGCAAAGAGAAGAACUUUGUUGUACACAUGGUACUCUUGAAAUGUGAACAUAGUAACAAUACCUGAUCCACCG